AGUUACUGGUUCUGGGUAUGUGAGUUUAGUAGCAAAGACUGGCGGAACACCGAUUUCAUUAGUUUCAAUGUUCGGGUCAGGUGAAAUGACAGAUCUAGCUGCAUAAUUCACACGUUUACCCAUCAUAUGCUUACGGAAAAGACCCUCCUUCUUUUCCAAAAUUUGCUUAAUACCCGGGGGUACUGUUCUACUCUGUCCUCCAGAACUAGGAUUCCUAUUACUAUCAAUCAGGCUGUUUACAUCGUGUUGUAGUUGAACAAAAGCGUUAAUCAACAGUUCAAAAGCACGAGAACGACGCUCCAAGCCUUCUUUCUCAUCAGGAUUUACUUCAACUGUAGAGUCUUUAGAGAGAGAAGCAAUUUGUAUUGAGGAUUGUAAAAUUCUGGUCAGAAGUUCAUUUUGGAUAUUUUCAUGUACUUCAUCGCCCAUUUUGGAAGCUGGACGGAAGCGAGUAGGAGGAACAGCAAUAUUUUGGAGGAAAAACAUAUCAGCAGAGGCAGGUUUUCCGCGUUUAUGAGCAUAAAGACGAGAAAGGACAACAUUUUCUUUUACAAAAAGACGGCGAAGAUGGUUACGGACUUCAGUAGAAGUCAUAUAUUUGGCU